rnacentral:rRNA from 1 species
GGUUAAGCGACUAAGCGUACACGGUGGAUGCCCUGGCAGUCAGAGGCGAUGAAGGACGUGCUAAUCUGCGAAAAGCGUCGGUAAGGUGAUAUGAACCGUUAUAGCCGGCGAUGUCCGAAUGGGGAAACCCAGUGCAAUUCGUUGCACUAUCGUUAACUGAAUACAUAGGUUAACGAGGCGAACCGGGGGAACUGAAACAUCUAAGUACCCCGAGGAAAAGAAAUCAACCGAGAUUCCCCCAGUAGCGGCGAGCGAACGGGGAGCAGCCCAGAGUCUGAAUCAGCUUGUGUGUUAGUGGAACGGUCUGGAAAGUCCGACGGUACAGGGUGAUAGUCCCGUACACCAAAAUGCACAGGCUGUGAACUCGAAGAGUAGGGCGGGACACGUGGUAUCCUGUCUGAAUAUGGGGGGACCAUCCUCCAAGGCUAAAUACUCCUGACUGACCGAUAGUGAACCAGUACCGUGAGGGAAAGGCGAAAAGAACCCCGGCGAGGGGAGUGAAAAAGAACCUGAAACCGUGUACGUACAAGCAGUGGGAGCACCUUCGGGUGUGACUGCGUACCUUUUGUAUAAUGGGUCAGCGACUUAUAUUCUGUAGCAAGGUUAACCGUAUAGGGGAGCCGCAGGGAAACCGAGUCUUAACUGGGCGUUAAGUUGCAGGGUAUAGACCCGAAACCCGGUGAUCUAGCCAUGGGCAGGUUGAAGGUUGGGUAACACUAACUGGAGGACCGAACCGACUAAUGUUGAAAAAUUAGCGGAUGACUUGUGGCUGGGGGUGAAAGGCCAAUCAAACCGGGAGAUAGCUGGUUCUCCCCGAAAGCUAUUUAGGUAGCGCCUCGUGAACUCAUCUUCGGGGGUAGAGCACUGUUUCGGCUAGGGGGUCAUCCCGACUUACCAACCCGAUGCAAACUACGAAUACCGAAGAAUGUUAUCACGGGAGACACACGGCGGGUGCUAACGUCCGUCGUGAAGAGGGAAACAACCCAGACCGCCAGCUAAGGUCCCAAAGUCAUGGUUAAGUGGGAAACGAUGUGGGAAGGCACAGACAGCCAGGAUGUUGGCUUAGAAGCAGCCAUCAUUUAAAGAAAGCGUAAUAGCUCACUGGUCGAGUCGGCCUGCGCGGAAGAUGUAACGGGGCUAAACCAUGCACCGAAGCUGCGGCAGCGACACUAUGUGUUGUUGGGUAGGGGAGCGUUCUGUAAGCCUGCGAAGGUGUGCUGUGAGGCAUGCUGGAGGUAUCAGAAGUGCGAAUGCUGACAUAAGUAACGAUAAAGCGGGUGAAAAGCCCGCUCGCCGGAAGACCAAGGGUUCCUGUCCAACGUUAAUCGGGGCAGGGUGAGUCGACCCCUAAGGCGAGGCCGAAAGGCGUAGUCGAUGGGAAACAGGUUAAUAUUCCUGUACUUGGUGUUACUGCGAAGGGGGGACGGAGAAGGCUAUGUUAGCCGGGCGACGGUUGUCCCGGUUUAAGCAUGUAGGCUGGUUAUCCAGGCAAAUCCGGAUAAUCAAGGCUGAGGUGUGAUGACGAGGCACUACGGUGCUGAAGUAACAAAUGCCCUGCUUCCAGGAAAAGCCUCUAAGCAUCAGGUAACAUCAAAUCGUACCCCAAACCGACACAGGUGGUCAGGUAGAGAAUACCAAGGCGCUUGAGAGAACUCGGGUGAAGGAACUAGGCAAAAUGGUGCCGUAACUUCGGGAGAAGGCACGCUGGUGUGUAGGUGAAGUCCCUGCGGAUGGAGCUGAGACCAGUCGAAGAUACCAGCUGGCUGCAACUGUUUAUUAAAAACACAGCACUGUGCAAACACGAAAGUGGACGUAUACGGUGUGACGCCUGCCCGGUGCCGGAAGGUUAAUUGAUGGGGUUAUCCGUAAGGAGAAGCUCUUGAUCGAAGCCCCGGUAAACGGCGGCCGUAACUAUAACGGUCCUAAGGUAGCGAAAUUCCUUGUCGGGUAAGUUCCGACCUGCACGAAUGGCGUAAUGAUGGCCAGGCUGUCUCCACCCGAGACUCAGUGAAAUUGAACUCGCUGUGAAGAUGCAGUGUACCCGCGGCAAGACGGAAAGACCCCGUGAACCUUUACUAUAGCUUGACACUGAACAUUGAGCCUUGAUGUGUAGGAUAGGUGGGAGGCUUUGAAGCGUGGACGCCAGUCUGCGUGGAGCCAACCUUGAAAUACCACCCUUUAAUGUUUGAUGUUCUAACGUUGGCCCCUUACCGGGGUUGCGGACAGUGUCUGGUGGGUAGUUUGACUGGGGCGGUCUCCUCCCAAAGCGUAACGGAGGAGCACGAAGGUUAGCUAAUCCUGGUCGGACAUCAGGAGGUUAGUGCAAUGGCAUAAGCUAGCUUGACUGCGAGCGUGACGGCGCGAGCAGGUGCGAAAGCAGGUCAUAGUGAUCCGGUGGUUCUGAAUGGAAGGGCCAUCGCUCAACGGAUAAAAGGUACUCCGGGGAUAACAGGCUGAUACCGCCCAAGAGUUCAUAUCGACGGCGGUGUUUGGCACCUCGAUGUCGGCUCAUCACAUCCUGGGGCUGAAGUAGGUCCCAAGGGUAUGGCUGUUCGCCAUUUAAAGUGGUACGCGAGCUGGGUUUAGAACGUCGUGAGACAGUUCGGUCCCUAUCUGCCGUGGGCGCUGGAGAAUUGAGGGGGGCUGCUCCUAGUACGAGAGGACCGGAGUGGACGCAUCACUGGUGUUCGGGUUGUCAUGCCAAUGGCACUGCCCGGUAGCUAAAUGCGGAAGAGAUAAGUGCUGAAAGCAUCUAAGCACGAAACUUGCCCCGAGAUGAGUUCUCCCUGAGACUUUAAGUCUCCUGAAGGAACGUUGAAGACGACGACGUUGAUAGGCCGGGUGUGUAAGCGCAGCGAUGCGUUGAGCUAACCGGUACUAAUGAACCGUGAGGCUUAACCUU